rnacentral:misc_RNA from 1 species
GAUGAAGAACGCAGCGAAAUGCGAUAAGUAAUGUGAAUUGCAGAAUUCAGUGAAUCAUCGAAUCUUUGAACGCACAUUACGCCCGCCAGUAUUCUGGCGGGCAUGCCUGUUCGAGCGUCAUUUCAACCAUCAAGCCCCCGGGCUUGUGUUGGGGACCUGCGGCUGCCGCAGGCCCUGAAAAGCAGUGGCGGGCUCGCUGUCACACCGAGCGUAGUAGCAUACAUCUCGCUCUGGGCGUGCUGCGGGUUCCGGCCGUUAAACUACCCUUUUAACCCAAGGUUGACCUCGGAUCAGGUAGGAAGACCCGCUGAACUUAAGCAUAUCAAUAAGCGGAGGA